rnacentral:rRNA from 1 species
GAUGAACGCUGGCGGCGUGCCUAAUACAUGCAAGUCGAGCGAACAGACGAGGAGCUUGCUCCUCUGACGUUAGCGGCGGACGGGUGAGUAACACGUGGAUAACCUACCUAUAAGACUGGGAUAACUUCGGGAAACCGGAGCUAAUACCGGAUAAUAUAUUGAACCGCAUGGUUCAAUAGUGAAAGACGGUUUUGCUGUCACUUAUAGAUGGAUCCGCGCCGCAUUAGCUAGUUGGUAAGGUAACGGCUUACCAAGGCAACGAUGCGUAGCCGACCUGAGAGGGUGAUCGGCCACACUGGAACUGAGACACGGCCCAGACUCCUACGGGAGGCAGCAGUAGGGAAUCUUCCGCAAUGGGCGAAAGCCUGGCGGAGCAACGCCGCGUGAGUGAUGAAGGUCUUCGGAUCGUAAAACUCUGUUAUUAGGGAAGAACAAAUGUGUAAGUAACUAUGCACGUCUUGACGGUACCUAAUCAGAAAGCCACGGCUAACUACGUG